rnacentral:rRNA from 1 species
GAUUCAGCGGCGGACGGGUGAGUAAUGCCUAGGAAUCUGCCUGGUAGUGGGGGACAACGUUUCGAAAGGAACGCUAAUACCGCAUACGUCCUACGGGAGAAAGCAGGGGACCUUCGGGCCUUGCGCUAUCAGAUGAGCCUAGGUCGGAUUAGCUAGUUGGUGAGGUAAAGGCUCACCAAGGCGACGAUCCGUAACUGGUCUGAGAGGAUGAUCAGUCACACUGGAACUGAGACACGGUCCAGACUCCUACGGGAGGCAGCAGUGGGGAAUAUUGGACAAUGGGCGAAAGCCUGAUCCAGCCAUGCCGCGUGUGUGAAGAAGGUCUUCGGAUUGUAAAGCACUUUAAGUUGGGAGGAAGGGCAGUAAGUUAAUACCUUGCUGUUUUGACGUUACCGACAGAAUAAGCACCGGCUAACUUUGUGCCAGCAGCCGCGGUAAUACAAAGGGUGCAAGCGUUAAUCGGAAUUACUGGGCGUAAAG